UUAGUUUCUGAUAAUGGAACGCAAUUCUCGGGAGAGGGAUACCACCUCAAUGUACUAUAGAGGGCUGGUAGAGGGCAAGUGUGAUGACAGCCUGGGGGAAACUCUAAGUUUCUAUGAAAAUCAGCUUGCAACCUGCAUCGACGGAUUUUUGACCCGGUUCCCAAGGACAACUUCCAGAGGUCCCUGGCUUGGCUGUGCUUCCGAAGUCGCUUGCCAGUUUGGGAUAAACUCACGAGGCACGGCGUCACCGUUUCGCCUACGUACCCAGGUUGCGGGCAGAGCAACGAAACAAUCGUAGUGUCCGAAUGGGUAUUAUCACAGCUUGGGAGAGUUCAGCUGUCAUCUGAAUCGAUUAUUAAGAUCGUUCCGCUGUCUCCUCUAAAAGGAGAAGAGAAAUUUUGUUUUCUGGCCGUAACAGCUAUAGCGAAAGAAGUGAUAUGGGAGACGCUUGGAAGAGGUAUCGCAUCAGGUACCUACGUCUCCGGACAUGCUUUAGUGAACCUCUUUUUAUAUCAACUAAGAGGGAAAACAUGUCUGGAGAAGAAAUGCCUGAUGGCAAAAAUGUGCGGGAGAAGAUGAAAGAAAGUAGCCCGAAUAUUGGGCUGGGAAGUGCCAAAUUAAGCGGAGUAAAAAAAAAGGACAAAACGGUGCAACGCAGGAAUGUGGUUGGUGGGAUCAAACCCAUUCCGCUUCCAUUCAUUUUUGUUUCUCAUUUCUCAUCCGAAUUUAUAAUAUAUUUAUUCAUGUUAAUAUCAUUCGAUAAAUCCCCGACCUCAUUUGUUUCUUGUAGUGUCCCUUCUUUGUUUAACCCUUGUGGCUUUGAUAAAAUCAUCGUAGUUGGGUC